rnacentral:rRNA from 1 species
AGUCGAGCGGCAGCGGGAAAGUGGCUUGCUACUUUUGCCGGCGAGCGGCGGACGGGUGAGUAAUGCCUGGGGAUCUGCCCAGUCGAGGGGGAUAACAGUUGGAAACGACUGCUAAUACCGCAUACGCCCUACGGGGGAAAGGAGGGGACCUUCGGGCCUUUCGCGAUUGGAUGAACCCAGGUGGGAUUAGCUAGUUGGUGGGGUAAUGGCUCACCAAGGCGACGAUCCCUAGCUGGUCUGAGAGGAUGAUCAGCCACACUGGAACUGAGACACGGUCCAGACUCCUACGGGAGGCAGCAGUGGGGAAUAUUGCACAAUGGGGGAAACCCUGAUGCAGCCAUGCCGCGUGUGUGAAGAAGGCCUUCGGGUUGUAAAGCACUUUCAGCGAGGAGGAAAGGUUGGCGCCUAAUACGUGUCAACUGUGACGUUACUCGCAGAAGAAGCACCGGCUAACUCCGUGCCAGCAGCCGCGGUAAU